rnacentral:rRNA from 1 species
GACAUUUCCGGACAGCCCCAGAGAUGGGGCCUCUUUGGGGGCGGGUUCACAGGUGGUGCAUGGUCGUCGUCAGCUCGUGUCGUGAGAUUUGGGUUAAGUCCCGCAAGAGCGCAACCCUCGCCCUGUGUUGCCAGCACGUCGUGGUGGGAACUCACGGGGGACCGCCGGGGUCAACUCGGAGGAAGGUGGGGAUGACGUCAGAUCAUCAUGCCCCUUACGUCCAGGGCUUCACGCAUGCUACAAUGGCCGGUACAACGGGAUGCGACCUCGUGAGGGGGAGCGGAUCCCUUAAAACCGG